rnacentral:lncRNA from 1 species
CUUGAUUUUCAUUCAUGCAGCCUCCUGAAAGGAAGAAAACGGAUGCAACCUCAAAGAGAGAGAUGAAUUCCCACUCUGUAACGGAGCUGGCAGACACAAUAUUCCUUGUAUCCUGCACAUCCUUCCUGCUGUCAUCUUUACUUCUUCUGAGAAAGCCUUCCUUGCCAGAUCCAUGAAUCCAUCAUCAGGAAAUCAAUCAGAGAGAAGAUGCCACUAAGAGGAGUGGAUUUUGUUUCAAGAUCUGCUGCUGUUAAUGCGAAUAAACCACAUGUUUAUGACCA